rnacentral:rRNA from 1 species
ACUCCUACGGGAGGCAGCAGUGGGGAAUAUUGCACAAUGGGCGCAAGCCUGAUGCAGCCAUGCCGCGUGUGUGAAGAAGGCCUUCGGGUUGUAAAGCACUUUCAGUCGUGAGGAAGGCGGCGUCGUUAAUAGCGGCGUUGUUUGACGUUAGCGACAGAAGAAGCACCGGCUAACUCCGUGCCAGCAGCCGCGGUAAUACGGAGGGUGCGAGCGUUAAUCGGAAUUACUGGGCGUAAAGCGCAUGCAGGUGGUUUGUUAAGUCAGAUGUGAAAGCCCGGGGCUUAACCUCGGAAUAGCAUUUGAAACUGGCAGACUAGAGUACUGUAGAGGGGGUAGAAUUUCAGGUGUAGCGGUGAAAUGCGUAGAGAUCUGAAGGAAUACCGGUGGCGAAGGCGGCCCCUGGACAGAUACUGACACUCAGAUGCGAAAGCGUGGGAGCAAACAGGAUUAGAUACCCCUGGUAG